rnacentral:rRNA from 1 species
GUGUCAGCAGCCGCGGUAAUACGUAGGGUGCGAGCGUUGUCCGGAAUUAUUGGGCGUAAAGGGCUCGUAGGCGGUUUGUCGCGUCGGGAGUGAAAACCUUGGGCUUAACUCAGGGCUUGCUUUCGAUACGGGCAGACUAGAGGUAUGCAGGGGAGAACGGAAUUCCUGGUGUAGCGGUGAAAUGCGCAGAUAUCAGGAGGAACACCGGUGGCGAAGGCGGUUCUCUGGGCAUGAUCUGACGCUGAGGAGCGAAAGUGUGGGGAGCGAACAGGAUUAGAAACCCCAGUAGUCC